GCACCGAAAAAUUGCCCAAUCAGAAUUCUUUGAAUUGCCUGUCCUAUGCAAAAGACAUCAUUUCCCAUUUUACGAUAUCAAUUCUCAGGAAAGCUUGUUCUUCAAAAAACUGUUCAUCUGCUAUGUGAAACUUUCCUUUCUUCUUUCCUUUUCUCCGACCAAUUUCAGUCUGGUUUUUGCAUCCAGUCAACAUUCUUUUGUUUUUCGACAUACACAGGGAUGUUCUUUAGCAGGAAUGGCAUUUUCUCUACAGCUAUUUGUGGUAGCUCCAGUAUCUUAUAAGACAUGUAAAGAAUAUGUUUUAUAUUCUCUAAAUUGAAAUGUAAUUUCUAUAUAUGAAUAAUAUUUUCUAGGUUAGAAAUUUGAAAAUGUAAUAAUAUCAUUUUUUUCCAUUUUCAUUUGUUGAAUAAUAGUAGCAGCUUGUAUUUUUUCCAUUCUAGUACUUCUAGAAUUUCUAUUAGGUUCAGUGGGGAAAAUAUGUAUUUAAACUGUUUUCAUAUCUAUUGGGGUUGUCGAAUUUGUACUAAUAUUAUCUUCUUCUUCCUCUAUUUGAGAAUUAGAAGGAAAAACUAAA